GGCCGGAACCUUGUUGCUAGGGACCGGGCGGUUUGCGGCAACCGUGGGCACUGCUGAAUUUGAAUUGAGGGGCGAGGGAAAAGUUUUCCUCAGGUGUGGUGGGGAGAGGGAGGCGGAUGCCGGGAAACCGUAGGGACGCGGUCAGAAAGGCGACGGGCUGUCGGAGUUGGAAAGGUAAAGUUGGAGGCUCGGCGGCGUCCUGCCUCCGCGCUGGCCACACCCGCCGCGGCUGCCCGGGGCAGGGAGGGAUCUGGCUGAUUCUCCCUGUACCCUGUGCCCUCGGAGCUGCCCCUCCGAGCGCCCAGAGGUCCCCGCCUGCCUGCUUCCUGGAGGCAGGGCUACCAUCAGUCCCACGCCUCGCGUGUCCGCCCCCCGCACCCCGGGGCCAAGGAAAGGGAUCGCGGUCUGGACUCCCCGGGGAGUUCCCUUGAUGAGGGGAAGGGCAGGUUUGGGGACGGCGAGGACACGCGGCGACCGGAGAGAGGCUACCUGACCCGCGCAGCCCGGACUCCCUUCCCUUCCCUUCCAGGGACGCCUGGUUUCCCCCCAAGCGAACCGGGAUGGGAAGUGACUUCAAUGAGAUUGAACUUCAGCUGGAUUGAAAGAGAGGCUAGAAGUUCCGCUUGCCAGCAGCCUCCUUAGUAGAGCGGAAUGAGUAAUACCCACACGGUGCUUGUCUCACUUCCCCAUCCGCACCCGGCCCUCACCUGCUGUCACCUCGGCCUCCCACACCCGGUCCGCGCUCCCCGCCCUCUUCCUCGCGUAGAACCGUGGGAUCCUAGGUGGCAGGACUCAGAGCUAAGGUAUCCACAGGCCAUGAAUUCCUUCCUAAAUGAGCGGUCAUCGCCGUGCAGGACCUUAAGGCAAGAAGCAUCGGCUGACAGAUGUGAUCUCUGAACCUGAUAGAUUGCUGAUUUUAUCUUAUUUUAUCCUUGACUUGGUACAAGUUUUGGGAUUUCUGAAAAGACCAUACAGAUAACCACAAAUAUCAAGAAAGUCGUCUUCAGUAUUAAGUAGAAUUUAGAUUUAGGUUUCCUUCCUGCUUCCCACCUCCUUCGAAUAAGGAAACGUCUUUGGGACCAACUUUAUGGAAUAAAUAAGCUGAGCUGUAUUUCAAGUAAUAUAGUUAUAAAUUAACAAUGUAGCAGUUAUUGAUAGAGAAAUUGAGAAAACUGAAACGUGACCGGAGUAUUGGAAAUAACGUAGUACAUCACCUAGCACAAUGACACAUAGUAGGUGCUCAAUAAAUUUAUGCUUAUAAUUUUUGUCACUUCUAUGGCAGGAUUUUUUUAUUAGGUUAAAAUUAUCUUUUAAACACCUUCCGGAAUUUUAGAAUAUUCAUUAAUAAUGUCUUCAAACCUUUCAACUGAAAUAAAUUUACAGCUGAAGUCUGAUGAUUUAAAGUUAGAAAGUUUAAUCUUGAAUAUAAAUGAACAUUUUCUCUCCCACAUUUUCUUGGGCAUUUUGAGAAGUAAAUGCGUUAUUUAUUGGUCCAUGAAAUGUGACUGUAAAUAUUCUUUGCUAUACAUUAUGUCUAUAUAUCUGCAUUCAUCCUCAAUGCCAAAACUAGAAUCAUUAGUCUUAAUGAUCAUUUUAAGUACAGGCAGUCCUCGCUUUCCUUGAUACCAUGUUAACCGAAACUUGUGUAUGUCAACACGGUGUCCUUGCUUUGCUUGGUUAAGUGUGAGUUCUUCCUCCCUUUUUUUAAGAGUUGUACAAUGUUUUUCAGUCGCCUACCGAAUCAGGUCAUAGACUAUGGAAUUGACCCCACCCCACCAACAUUUUUACAGCUACCCUGAUUUCUGACCAGAAAGGAAAAAAAAACUUUCCAGCUCUAUCACACAUUUUACCUACUCUUAAACUUAGGAGGUAUUACAAAUAGCAUUUUCUCAUGUUCUCUUUCUGGCCUGUACCUCCCUGCUAAGCUUCCUUCAGUGUUCAUCCUCACCUCAUAGAGAGAUGAAGUGAAGAGACAAACAGAAGUCAUUUUCUUCCUUACUUUAGUGGUUUCUGGUUUAGUUAGUUUGGGCCAAACUGUGGACAAGUACCUUUUCAGGUAACUUUUUUUUCUUAUUUCUAUGUCCUCAACACCUAGUGGAGUACGUAGCCAAUAGUAGAUGCUUAAUAAACAUUUCUUAAAUUAAUAUUGUUGACCUUUUCUGACCCUGUUCUUGACAGUAAGGUACAUAAUCUGCCUUCAUCCCUUUAGUCCUUAGGAACAGAUAAAGUCAUGGAUAUGAAAGUGAUCACUGUCAUUAAUAUCCACAUUAAAAUUGCUCUUGAUUUUAGUUUCUCCAUAAUCAUUUUCCCUAAACAAUGAACUCUGUUCACCUUUUUUUUUAAAAUAUGCACAGUGAAUAUUACUGGUAGCCCAAAUCUUCUAACAUAAAAUUUCCAUUUUGUAAAAGCUUCUGAUAAGCAUAUAUGUUAUGAAUUGAAUGUUUGAUUAUUAUACUUUAAUAUUCUUGAAAAUAUUGAUACCUGGACUGGAAAGAAAACAGACAAAAGUAAAUCUCAGAAUAAAUUACUGCUUUAAACAUGA
ensembl:lncRNA ZEB1-AS1 ZEB1 antisense RNA 1